rnacentral:rRNA from 1 species
UACGGAGGGUGCGAGCGUUGUUCGGAAUCACUGGGCGUAAAGCGCACGUAGGCGGAUCUUUAAGUCAGAGGUGAAAUCCCAAGGCUCAACCUUGGAACUGCCUUUGAUACUGGGGAUCUUGAGUUCGGGAGAGGUGAGUGGAACUGCGAGUGUAGAGGUGAAAUUCGUAGAUAUUCGCAAGAACACCAGUGGCGAAGGCGGCUCACUGGCCCGAUACUGACGCUGAGGCACGAAAGCGUGGGGAGCAAACAGG